GAUGAACGCUGGCGGCGUGCCUAAUACAUGCAAGUCGAGCGAACAGACGAGGAGCUGCUCCUCUGACGUUAGCGGCGGACGGGUGAGUAACACGUGGAUAACCUACCUAUAAGACUGGGAUAACUUCGGGAAACCGGAGCUAAUACCGGAUAAUAUAUUGAACCGCAUGGUUCAAUAGUGAAAGACGGUUUUGCUGUCACUUAUAGAUGGAUCCGCGCCGCAUUAGCUAGUUGGUAAGGUAACGGCUUACCAAGGCGACGAUGCGUAGCCGACCUGAGAAGGUGAUCAGCCACACUGGAACUGAGACACGGUCCAGGCUCCUACGGGAGGCAGCAGUAGGGAAUCUUCCGCAAUGGGCGAAAGCCUGACGGAGCAACGCCGAGUGAGUGAUGAAGGUCUUCGGAUCGUAAAACUCUGUUAUUAGGGAAGAACAAAUGUGUAAGUAACGAUGAACGUCUUGACGGUACCUAAUCAGAAAGCCACGGCUAAAUACGUG
rnacentral:rRNA from 1 species